UUUAUAAUGCCACCGGGUAUUAUGCAUGCAUUAAAGCAUUGUUACUACAUCAUUAGGUCUUUGAAGAUGUCGUAAGGGAUGUUUUUUUUUAU
rnacentral:ncRNA from 1 species